rnacentral:rRNA from 1 species
AUUGAACGCUGGCGGCAGGCCUAACACAUGCAAGUCGAGCGGAUGAAGGGAGCUUGCUCCUGGAUUCAGCGGCGGACGGGUGAGUAAUGCCUAGGAAUCUGCCUGGUAGUGGGGGAUAACGUCCGGAAACGGGCGCUAAUACCGCAUACGUCCUGAGGGAGAAAGUGGGGGAUCUUCGGACCUCCCGCUAUCAGAUGAGCCUAGGUCGGGUUAGCUAGUUGGUGGGGUAAAGGCCUACCAAGGCGACGAUCCGUAACUGGUCUGAGAGGAUGAUCAGUCACACUGGAACUGAGACACGGUCCAGACUCCUACGGGAGGCAGCAGUGGGGAAUAUUGGACAAUGGGCGAAAGCCUGAUCCAGCCAUGCCGCGUGUGUGAAGAAGGUCUUCGGAUUGUAAAGCACUUUAAGUUGGGAGGAAGGGCAGUAAGUUAAUACCUUGCUGUUUUGACGUUACCAACAGAAUAAGCACCGGCUAACUUCGUG